GGGGGCGUACCGGGUUCGACGGGGGACAGUUGGGGCGCUGGCAGCGUGCCGUGGUCCGCCGCCACGCUAAUCAGGCGGAAACACACACCUGCCAACACUGAGCUGGCACUGGCUGCGUAAGCGUAGCCACGUCACGAUCGUCGGUCCCCGCCUGCGGGCCUGAUCGCGGCGCCGACCAAAGCAGGCUGGCUCGCCGCUGAGCCCGGGUGCGGCGAGCAAGAGCUUCGGGCUGACCAACGGGAGAGGGCGCCCACGCCCGCCCCGACGGUGAGAUCAAAACGUGGGAUGCGCACGGAGAUACCAGUGCUCCAGGUCCUUCGGACGGGGGUUCGAUUCCCCCCGCCUCCACCA
rnacentral:tmRNA from 2 species